AGGAAAAUAGUUUAAAAAAACAUUUGAUCUGCAAUCAAAAAAUAUUAAUAAUUAAUUUUUCUUA
rnacentral:tRNA from 1 species